CUCAGUCCUGUUGUGCAGCUGCGGAGUUAAGAGGCGGGCAGAGCCAGACUUGACGAUGUCACCAGAGCCACAGGCCUCUCCCAACCAUGCGGACUUCCUGAUUCUGAGGCAAAGUUCAAGAGCUUGUCCUGCACAGUUCUCCAUAGUCUUCUACAAACACAAACAUUGGCUGUUGAACAUGCAAGGGGCUGAAAAUGUGGCAUCACCAAGAAACCAGCAAAGGACCCGGCGUUAUGGUUAAGCCACCUCUGGAAGAGCAGCGAGUGCUUGGG